rnacentral:rRNA from 1 species
AGUGAACGCUGGCGGUAGGCCUAACACAUGCAAGUCGAACGGCAGCACAGUAAGAGCUUGCUCUUACGGGUGGCGAGUGGCGGACGGGUGAGGAAUACAUCGGAAUCUACUUUUUCUUGGGGGAUAACGUAGGGAAACUUACGCUAAUACCGCAUACGACCUACGGGUGAAAGCAGGGGAUCUUCGGACCUUGCGCGAUUGAAUGAGCCGAUGGCGGAUUAGCUAGUUGGCGGGGUAAAGGCCCACCAAGGCGACGAUCCGUAGCUGGUCUGAGAGGAUGAUCAGCCACACUGGAACUGAGACACGGUCCAGACUCCUACGGGAGGCAGCAGUGGGGAAUAUUGGACAAUGGGCGCAAGCCUGCUCCAGCCAUACCGCGUGGGUGAAGAAGGCCUUCGGGUUGUAAAGCCCUUUUGUUGGGAAAGAAAAGCAGCAGGUUAAUACCCCGCUGUUCUGACGGUACCCAAAGAAUAAGCACCGGCUAACUUCGUG